ACGAACGCUGGCGGCGUGCUUAACACCUGCAAGUCGAACGCUGAAGCUCAGCUUUUGUUGGGUGGAUGAGUGGCGAACGGGUGAGUAACACGUGAGUAACCUGCCUCCUUCUUUGGGAUAACGCCCGGAAACGGGUGCUAAUACUGGAUAUUCACUGGUCUUCGCAUGGGGGUUGGUGGAAAGGGUUUUUCUGGUGGGGGAUGGGCUCGCGGCCUAUCAGCUUGUUGGUGGGGUGAUGGCCUACCAAGGCUUUGACGGGUAGCCGGCCUGAGAGGGUGACCGGUCACAUUGGGACUGAGAUACGGCCCAGACUCCUACGGGAGGCAGCAGUGGGGAAUAUUGCACAAUGGGCGCAAGCCUGAUGCAGCGACGCCGCGUGAGGGAUGGAGGCCUUCGGGUUGUGAACCUCUUUCGCUCAUGGUCAAGCCGCAACAAUGGUUGUGGUGAGGGUAGUGGGUAAAGAAGCGCCGGCUAACUACGUG
rnacentral:rRNA from 1 species